CCCGCCGGCGCCUCGCGCCUGAGGGGCCGCCAAUGGCGGCGGUGAGGUGGUGCGGUGGCCGGGUGGGGCUACUGCCUUGGCUGUGGGAUCGAGUUCUCAGCGAUGCGGUGGGCCGCGGGAGAGACUGGAGCGACCGGUUACUUGCUUAGGAUGGAGGCGGGCAACACUAACCGGGCAGCGUGGUGGCUGGAUCCUUCUGGUGCUGCUGCUGGAGUUACUGCUGCCCCAUGAGGAGCUGCUGACCUCCUUUUCCCUCGAGAUUCCUCAGGCAGUGAAGAGCGAUCCCUGCUGUGCAUAGCGUUCAACCCACUGUUGAACCAGCUGCUCUGACAGGAGAAAUACCUGCCCUUGUUCCUUACAGCUGCUUCCAUUUGUAGGUGUGGGACCUUGCACUGCGUUUUCUUGGUCCUCAAGGCAAAAGAGGAUUGUAAUACUAGAUUCAGGACAGCAUCACCCCAGGUUGGUCUAUCAGCAUCUGUGUUAUCCCUGCUCCCUCCAGAAAUGUCUGUGAUGGCCUUUCACUUGCAGCUGAUGCCAGGGAGAUUGAAGAUCACCACAGGAACCAAUGGCAGUGACUGAAGAACCCCAGCAACACUGUCAUGCAACGGAAGUGCUCUAGCUCAGGGUUAGCAGUUGAGGGUAUAAGAAGACAGUGCCAAGAGAGCAUUCCUCAGGGAUCAGAUGUACCCUCUGAAAAUAAAGUAAGGUGGUGUGUUCUGGUGUUAGGUUCAUCAGUUGGGUUUCAUUGUUGUCGUUAUUUUGAACACACAAUAAAGUUAUGUUGGGUCAGAAACUAAA